rnacentral:rRNA from 1 species
GGGGAAUAUUGGACAAUGGGGGGAACCCUGAUCCAGCCAUGCCGCGUGUGUGAAGAAGGCCUUUUGGUUGUAAAGCACUUUAAGUGGGGAGGAGGCUUACCUGGUUAAUACCUAGGAUAAGUGGACGUUACCCACAGAAUAAGCACCGGCUAACUCUGUGCCAGCAGCCGCGGUAAUACGUAGGGGGCGAGCGUUGUCCGGAAUGACUGGGCGUAAAGGGUGCGUAGGCGGCCAGGUAAGUCAGAUGUGAAAGGCAUAGGCUCAACCUAUGUAAGCAUUUGAAACUGUCUGGCUUGAGUCGAGGAGAGGAAAGUGGAAUUCCUGGUGUAGCGGUGAAAUGCGUAGAUAUCAGGAGGAAUACCAGUGGCGAAGGCGACUUUCUGGACUUGGACUGACGCUGAGGCACGAAAGCGUGGGGAGCAAACAGGA